GUAGGAGGCGAGCGUUAUCCGGAGUUACUGGGCGUAAAGCGCGUGUAGGUGGCUUGUUGCGUCUGCUGUGAAAGCUUCCGGCUUAACCGGGACUAUGCGGUAGAUACGGGCAAGCUAGAGGGUGACAGAGGAGCGUAGAAUUCCGGGUGUAGUGGUGAAAUGCGUAGAGAUCCGGAGGAAUACCAGUGGCGCAAGCGGCGCUCUGGGUCGAGCCUGACACUGAGACGCGAAGGCAUGGGGAGCGAACGGGAUUAGAAACCCCGGUAGUCCAUGCAGUAAACGAUGCAGACUGGGUGUGGGUAGCGCAAGCUAUCUGUGCCGAAGCUAACGCGCUAAGUCUGCCGCCUGGGAAGUACGGUCGCAAGACUA
rnacentral:rRNA from 1 species